rnacentral:rRNA from 1 species
CCCUUAGAUGUUCUGGGCCGCACGCGCACUACACUGAUGCAUUCAACGAGCCUAUCCUUGACCGACAGGUCCGGGUAAUCUUUGAAUCUGCAUCGUGACGGGGAUAGAUUAUUGCAAUUAUUAAUCUUCAACGAGGAAUGCCUAGUAGGCGCAAGUCAUCAGCUUGCGUCGAUUACGUCCCUGCCCUUUGUACACACCGCCCGUCGCUCCUACCGAUUGGGUGUGCUGGUGAAAUGUUCGGAUCGGCCGUUUGUCGCGGUUUCCGCGUCAUGUGGCUGAGAAGUUCAUUAAACCCUCCCACCUAGAGGAAGGAGAAGUCGUAACA